AGCGAACGUUAGCGGCGCGCCUAACACAUGCAAGUCGCACGCGAAAGGGAGCAAUCCUGAGUAAAGUGGCGCACGGGUGCGUAACACGUAGAUAACCUGCCCUUCGUUGGGGGAUAACGUUCCGAAAGGAGCGCUAAUACCGCAUACAGCGUUCUGGGGUUUGCCCUGGGAUGGCAAAGGCGGGGACCGGCAACGGCCAGUCGACGAAGGAGGGGUCUGCGGCCCAUCAGCUAGUUGGUGAGGUAAUGGCUCACCAAGGCAGAGACGGGUAGCUGGUCUGAGAGGAUGAUCAGCCACACUGGUACUGGAACACGGACCAGACUCCUACGGGAGGCAGCAGUGGGGAAUCUUGGUCAAUGGGCGAAAGCCUGAACCAGCGACGCCGCGUGAGUGAUGAAGGCCUUCGGGUUGUAAAGCUCUGUGGGGAGAGACGAAAGAGCACGUUCUAACAGGACGUGUGUUGACGGUAUCUCCUUAGCAAGCACCGGCUAACUCUGUGCCAGCCGCCGCGGUAA
rnacentral:rRNA from 1 species